AGAGUUUGAUCCUGGCUCAGGAUGAACGCUAGCUACAGGCUUAACACAUGCAAGUCGAGGGGCAGCAUGGGAGUUGCUUGCAACUUCUGAUGGCGACCGGCGCACGGGUGAGUAACGCGUAUCCAACCUUCCCCUUAGUAGGGCAUAGCCCGUAGAAAUGCGGAUUAAUACCCUAUGUUCUUCGAAGCGGUCAUCCAAUUUGAAGCAAAGAUUCAUCGCUAAGGGAUGGGGAUGCGUCCGAUUAGGUUGUUGGCGGGGUAACGGCCCACCAAGCCAUCGAUCGGUAGGGUUCUGAGAGGAAGGUCCCCCACAUUGGAACUGAGACACGGUCCAAACUCCUACGGGAGGCAGCAGUGAGGAAUAUUGGUCAAUGGACGAGAGUCUGAACCAGCCAAGUAAGCGUGCAGGACGACGGCCCUAUGGGUUGUAAACUGCUUUUAUACAGGGAUAAAGUCGGGGACGUGUCCCCGUUUGUAGGUACUGUAUGAAUAAGGACCGGCUAAUUCCGUGCCAGCAGCAGC
rnacentral:rRNA from 1 species